AGAGUUUGAUCCUGGCUCAGGAUGAACGCUGGCGGCGUGCCUAAUACAUGCAAGUCGAGCGAACUGAUUAGAAGCUUGCUUCUAUGACGUUAGCGGCGGACGGGUGAGUAACACGUGGGCAACCUGCCUGUAAGACUGGGAUAACUUCGGGAAACCGAAGCUAAUACCGGAUAGGAUCUUCUCCUUCAUGGGAGAUGAUUGAAAGAUGGUUUCGGCUAUCACUUACAGAUGGGCCCGCGGUGCAUUAGCUAGUUGGUGAGGUAACGGCUCACCAAGGCAACGAUGCAUAGCCGACCUGAGAGGGUGAUCGGCCACACUGGGACUGAGACACGGCCCAGACUCCUACGGGAGGCAGCAGUAGGGAAUCUUCCGCAAUGGACGAAAGUCUGACGGAGCAACGCCGCGUGAGUGAUGAAGGCUUUCGGGUCGUAAAACUCUGUUGUUAGGGAAGAACAAGUACGAGAGUAACUGCUCGUACCUUGACGGUACCUAACCAGAAAGCCACGGCUAACUACGUGCCAGCAGCCGCGGUAAUACGUAGGUGGCAAGCGUUAUCCGGAAUUAUUGGGCGUAAAGCGCGCGCAGGCGGUUUCUUAAGUCUGAUGUGAAAGCCCACGGCUCAACCGUGGAGG
rnacentral:rRNA from 1 species